UACGUAGGGGGCUAGCGUUGUCCGGAAUCAUUGGGCGUAAAGCGCGUGUAGGCGGUUCGGUAAGUCCGCUGUGAAAGUCGGGGGCUCAACCCUCGGAAGCCGGUGGAUACUGUCGGGCUAGAGUACGGAAGAGGCGAGUGGAAUUCCUGGUGUAGCGGUGAAAUGCGUAGAUAUCAGGAGGAACACCAAUUGCGAAGGCAGCUCGCUGGGACGUUACUGACGCUGAGACGCGAAAGCGUGGGGAGCAAACAGG
rnacentral:rRNA from 1 species